UGUCAAUAUGCUUUUGCUUUUGUGAUUGGUCAAAAAACUUUCAAAAUGCAUUGUAGCAUCACGUUCUCUGGCUGGUGCCAUCUUCCCAAUGUCUCAUCC